GACGAACGCUGGCGGCGUGCCUAAUACAUGCAAGUCGAACGAAGAUCUAGCUUGCUAGAUCUUAGUGGCGAACGGGUGAGUAAUACAUAAAUAAUCUGCCCAUAUGACUGGGAUAACUAUUGGAAACGAUAGCUAAUACCGGAUAGGUUGAUUGGAGGCAUCUCUGAUUAAUUAAAGUAGGAUUUCUACACAAAUGGAUGAGUUUAUGGCGCAUUAGUUAGUUGGUGGGGUAACGGCCUACCAAGACGAUGAUGCGUAGCCGACCUGAGAGGGUGACCGGCCACACUGGGACUGAGACACGGCCCAGACUCCUACGGGAGGCAGCAGUAGGGAAUUUUCGGCAAUGGGCGCAAGCCUGACCGAGCAACGCCGCGUGAGUGAUUAAGGCCUUCGGGUUGUAAAGCUCUGUUGUAAGGGAAGAACAUUCAGGAUAGGAAAUGAUCUUGAACUGACGGUACCUUACCAGAAAGCCACGGCUAACUACGUGCCAGCAGCCGCCGUAAGAC
rnacentral:rRNA from 1 species